rnacentral:rRNA from 1 species
AUUGAACGCUGGCGGCAGGCCUAACACAUGCAAGUCGAACGGUAACAGGAAACAGCUUGCUGUUUCGCUGACGAGUGGCGGACGGGUGAGUAAUGUCUGGGAAACUGCCUGAUGGAGGGGGAUAACUACUGGAAACGGUAGCUAAUACCGCAUAACGUCGCAAGACCAAAGAGGGGGACCUUCGGGCCUCUUGCCAUCGGAUGUGCCCAGAUGGGAUUAGCUAGUAGGUGGGGUAACGGCUCACCUAGGCGACGAUCCCUAGCUGGUCUGAGAGGAUGCCCAGCCACACGGGAACUGAGACACGGUCCAGACUCCUACGGGAGGCAGCAGUGGGGAAUAUUGCACAAUGGGCGCAAGCCUGAUGCAGCCAUGCCGCGUGUAUGAAGAAGGCCUUCGGGUUGUAAAGUACUUUCAGCGGGGAGGAAGGGAGUAAAGUUAAUACCUUUGCUCAUUGACGUUACCCGCAGAAGAAGCACCGGCUAACUCCGUGCCAGCCGCCGCCGUAA